rnacentral:sRNA from 2 species
UAUUCUGCCCAGACGGGAAGGAUGAGAAGCUUCGACUAAGGUUCGAUUCGAGCGUUAGCGAGAAAGCGUUGCCGCAGGCAACGACCCGAAGGG